rnacentral:rRNA from 1 species
UAACUGGAGGAAGGUGGGGAUGACGUCAAGUCCUCAUGGCCCUUAUGCCUAGGGCUACACACGUGCUACAAUGGUAGUCACAGAGCGAAGCUAAGCCGCGAGGUAGAGCAAAUCGCUUAAAAGCUAUCUAAGUUCAGAUUGAUCUCUGCAACUCGAGAUCAUGAAGUUGGAAUCGCUAGUAAUCGCGGAUCAGAAUGCCGCGGUGAAUACGUUCCCGGGCCUUGUACACACCGCCCGUCACACCAUGAAAGUUGGCUGUACCAGAAGUCGCUGCGCUAACCGCAAGGAGGCAGGCGCCCAAGGUAUGGUCGAUGAUU